CCUGCAGGGCAUUGGCUGAAACUACAUUUGAAUCAAGGACAGUGCUUAUGCCUCAGUCUUACCCUUCAUGUUCCCACCUGACAGGCAAUAGCAGUGGUCCCACUGCACCUCUACUUGCUUUGCAGUAUCUUUGUCCCUAGUUAACAAUAUGCUACUUAAACUUUAUUCUCCUUUUUUCUAUUGGGCUGUCUAUAUGACCUUUAGGGGGGCCUCCUGGGGGUAUACUCUCCUGACAGCGUUGGCAUGGUACUACUCAUGGGCAUUGAACCCUAAUUCUCUGAGCUUCUGUAUCCAGUGCUCUUACCUCUCACUCUACCC